AUGGUUAUUAUUUUCCAAUUAGAUCAGAAAAUAUAUUUUUAUCCGUUUUUGUUGGUUGCUCAUGUUGGGUUUCUAUUCUAGCCUACCCCAGAGACUGGAAAUCUUUGUUGCUGUUGUUAUAUAUAAGAAUGUAAGAUAGAUUCUGAACUCAUUCUUAGCCUAAAUUUGCUCUUGGCUCAUGUGUUAGAAUGUAAUAUAACAGCCCAUUGGGCGUGUAUGGCCUAUGGCCCAUGUACAUUGUAACCCUAGCCUAUUAGGCUAUAUAAUGAAGGUCACCCCCCCUAAUUAGGGUGUGCGGUGUUUCUCUACAUCAUGUCACAUUUCAGUACUGACAAGUGUGGUUGCCACCUGUCUUUUCACUAAGGUUUAGAAAGGAUGAUUUCAUGCCGCCUAUCAUUGAUAUCACGCUUUUCAAUUAGUCAUUUCACUACUGUGCUCUAUUUUUAAUGUGAACUAGUCAUGGCAGAAAGUACUGUUGGCUGAUUUGUUGUGAGAGAAAAACACCGCUGAAUGGCUGACAGGUUCGGCUGAUAAGCUCAAGCAAACAGGAAGCAUACCUUGUGUUGAUC
rnacentral:lncRNA from 1 species